rnacentral:piRNA from 1 species
UCUCUGGGUGACACAAGAUUGAUGCC